CACCGUCACGGCAAUGGAUUUCUGCCGGGCCAUCGUGGCCGAACCGCCCUCGGGCUGAUGAUUCCUACCUUUUG
rnacentral:ncRNA from 2 species